rnacentral:lncRNA from 1 species
UAAAUUCAUGGACAAAAUAGCUAUUAAGAAAAUAUGGGUUCCAAAAGGAACAAUUAUAGCUAACCUACAAGGACCCAAAAGAGCUUGGGUUCCUAAGUUGAAAAUAUGAUUAUUCUUUCAGCAAGCAUGUCUAGCUAUUCAAGGUUCUAAUGAAAGAUGUUAUCUAAACAAUGGGUGCUCUAGACAUGUGUUAAAGAAUUGAAUUUAAAAUGUAAUUAAGAAAGAAUGAAAUAAGUAAUUCUUACAUCUUCUCGUAUUGAAAUUACUUUAUUAGUUGAUUAAAACAUAACUUGAAAGUAUUAAUCAUUUUUGUGAUAUAAGUGAUAUUUUUUUUGG